GUUGUGGACCAGUGGUUAGCGCGUUGGACUCCGGAUCGAGCGGUCCGGGUUUGAGCCCUGGCUGGGGUU